AGUUUAGGAGAAAGAGUUGGAGAAGCUGCAAGACAAAAUGAAGAUCAAAGAAAAGAAGUCAUGAGUGUUUCCACAGACCUGCUGCAUGAAUUAAAAGCAUUUGGAGACGUUGCAUCACAGCAACGGGCUCGGCUAGAGGAAAUCCAAACAACAAUGACAGCACUCGCUAAAGCACGGGAACAUAUGAGGCAGGAAAGGGAGAACUUUUCAUUGGAGGCUGCGGAAAUGGAAAAAGCACUCAAGGAAGCAGAAGCUCUCUUGUAAAAGAGUUUUGAGUUUUAAAAAAGUGUAUAUUUAUGUAAAAUGUGUGUUGAGUGUGAAACUAAAUAAAGUAUUCUCUUCUUCAUG